GCAUUUUGCAUCAGAAUGUUACGAGGUGGUUCACCUGACGGCCGAUUUGGACUGUAAAAGUCGCUGGAAAGGGAUGCGGCACCCGCCUCGUUCGACGACAACAAAGAGGAGAGGAUAGCAACAAAGGACCAAAGUUGAGGGCCCCAGGAAAGAGGUACAUACAGGAGCACUGGUGAAGCAACGUCUGGUGCUACAAUAAUGGUGCCACAGUAUCGUGAACAUGUACAUGUGUGCGCACAUGGACAAGCAAUGAUAAUGGCAACCUGUUUCCGGUAAAAUGGCUCGUGAUACUCUGGCAUGUCAUGGAUAUUUGGAUCAUAACGUUGCUUCACAUAUUCAUCAGCAUCAAGGUCACCAUGCAAGAUGUGCACAUCAAGACAUUGGGAAGCUGCUUUGGCCCCACAAAGGAGAUUUACAGUGUUUCAAGCUAGCAGCAAUUACUAAGCAACCGUCCUGCAUUCCUCACUUACAGGAACUGGAACAUUCGAAGUGUUGUAGGGGAUAGUGGGUGUACUUCCCCUUCUGAAGGACAUCCCGCCAUUGUGUGCACUAAAAGUUUCCUUGUCUCAGUGCUGUUACUCGGUCACGUAUCUAGUAUGUCAUGGUAAGUAGGUCAUGUAUCACUUCCACCUUAUCCGUGUGCCACAUAUUGUAUCUACACAUAAGGAAUGUGUGUGAGAAAACUACUGAAACACAGAAUUGCAUUGCUUCUUUACUGCACAAGCCUGUUCUGUCUGUUUUAGGAAUUCUAAUAAUGCUAAUUUUCAUGUCAGGGUAUGUCCAUGGGCUUUCUGGUGCUCUGCUCGAUCUCUGUGGACGAUAGCUGUUCGUGAGCCCCCGAACAGAAGGAAGAGACUACACAAGGGGGGCUCACCGCAAGAGUUACAGUGAAUGAGUAAACGCUAACAACUCUGCAAGGCACUAAAUGCAAGUCGACAGCAGAAGGGCUUCAGCGAACAUGUACAAACAGUCGCAUACCUAGGAUUUUUAGUUUUUGGCAUUUCAUUCGCCAUUAAUCGGUGGCUUCUGUAGAAGCGUAGGGGAUGGGGAAACAAACACAAGAUUUUGGAGCACACAGUAAAUGGUACUCCAUGUUCCUUAGCCAUUUUGCUACAUGAAGUGCAAGGGGAAAAUCGAAGGGGUUGGGACGCUUUCAUAGACGUGGUUUGUUACAUCAUGGGUGCAUCAUGCAUUGCGCUCCAUAAUGUUGAUCAAUCUGUUUUUUUUUUCAUGUGUCAUACUUCGCGAGAUAAAAGCUCUCGAACAGAUGCCUGACUAACGCACGAAUGUCAAGGACCUCAGAGAUACAGCCAAUUCCACUGAUAGCCCUGAGGUCUGUGACGUCAGAGCUGCUUGAGGUUUGCUAUUCAAGGUGCCCAUUUUCUACGCUCUAUUCCAACCUUGGUUUGUAAAACACACAUUGGUACGAAGAAGCUUUUAUUUUCAUGUGGGAUGGUGGUGUUGCAACCCCUUUCACUGGUUUGUGGGGAAUGACUUGAUUCUGCACCUAAGACUUACCACAGAACACCUGAACUGACACCUGUGUUCUGUCCAUCUUGCAGUGUGCUUGUUUACCUGUUGCGAGGGAUUAUGGGGGGAGUCAGAUAGUUUUAUGAUCUCUGUGUAUUCAAUAAAAUUAUGGUCUAUUCAG